rnacentral:rRNA from 1 species
UACGAAGGGGGCUAGCGUUGCUCGGAAUUACUGGGCGUAAAGGGAGCGUAGGCGGGUUAUCAAGUUGGAGGUGAAAGCCCAGGGCUCAACCUUGGAAUUGCCUUCAAAACUGAUAGCCUAGAGUAUGAUAGAGGUAUGUGGAACUCCGAGUGUAGAGGUGAAAUUCGUAGAUAUUCGGAAGAACACCAGUGGCGAAGGCGACAUACUGGGUCAUGACUGACGCUGAGGCUCGAAAGCGUGGGGAUCAAACAGG